AGACCCCAAAUCCAAAAUAACUAAAUAAGUAAAAUUAAAGUCCUUAUUCGAGGAAGGACAAGGAUGAAGGAGGGAAGAGGAUGGACGAGAAGAAAACUGAGGUUUAAGUCAGGAUGCCAUUUGGAAAAAUUUACC